UCUAUUACACAUGAUUAGUCAUGCCACUUAGUGUUAACCAAGCACAUUUAGGAGUCUAUGAUACUAACAUGGCAUACUAGUUGACGGAAAUAAGCAAGAACUAAAGUAGACAUGCUGGUUACACACUUGAACAAGAGAGGGCAAAACUUAAGCAUGCUGAAUAAAGCAGUAAACGAGGAGAGCAAUUAAAUACAUAAGCUAUUAAAUUAAUACAGAAGGAGACAUGGAUUAACAGACAUAGAGCACAUAGAGUUGAGUUUCAGAAUUGAACUAGGAACAUACCAGUUAAGGAAGCGAAGUACAGAAAAGUAAACCAAGUAGAGUUUCACAUUCUAGCCUUGGAUUUUAGCCGGCUAGACAAACAGUUAACACAAAUAGUAGAGAAAGAAGAGAGAGUUU
rnacentral:lncRNA from 1 species